CCAAGUGGAACCCUAAUAGAGGCCACCAAAAAGAAAGGGAAGACUAGGAGAGGGUUUGGGAGAAUCGAGGAGCAGUCGCAAAGACUUCGUCCAGAGUCGAGGGAAGUUGACUUCGUGAAGAAACUUGGCAGAAAUCUGGGAAUUAUCUGAGAACGGUAGGCGAACUUCUGUAGCUCAAAUCUCGUUCUAUGUUGAGGCUAAAAUCACGAAAAAAAAUACCAAGAUGUAGCCCUCAACACGAUCUAGAACUUUGCCGAAGGAACCAUAUCGAUCCGAGCUCUGGGUCAAAAGAUAUGAAAAUUGGAAAACGGUAGAUUGGAAAAGGGCUAUGGAUUGCCGGAGAGAGAGAAAA